rnacentral:rRNA from 1 species
UAGGUGAACCUGCGGAAGGAUCAUUCAUAACGAGUGUUUAUGGCACUCUAAAACAAUCCAUACCCACCUUGUGUGCAACGUUAAGAAGUGAAACCGAGGUGUGACACGUUCGUUUCGGCGACACGUGUCCCUGAGGUGUCACUCUCUUUAAAAUCAAUCUAUUUUUAACUAGUUUGUCUGAAUCAUUGUAUCAUGAAUAAACAUAAUUCAAAAUACAACUUUCAACAACGGAUCUCUUGGCUCUCGCAUCGAUGAAGAACGCAGCGAAAUGCGAUACGUAAUGUGAAUUGCAGAACUCAGUGAAUCAUCGAAUCUUUGAACGCACAUUGCGCUCUCUGGUAUUCCGGAGAGCAUGCUUGUUUGAGUAUCAGUAAAACACCCUCAGUCCUUUGUUCGCAAAGGACUGGACUUGAGCGAUCCCAACGGCUGUUACACAGCUGGCGGGUCUCUUGAAAUGCAGGUGCGGCUGGACACUUUUCUGAGCUAUAAGCAUUACUUAUUUAGUCCCGUCAAACGGAUUAUUUCUACUGCUGCAGCUAACAUAAAGGUUGAUUGUCCUGUGCCCGACUGAUGCAGAAAUAACUUGGAGCAAUCCUUGUUCACUCGAUCUCAAAUCAAGU